rnacentral:lncRNA from 1 species
AAAGAAUGUUAUAUUAUUAAUAAGAAUACUUAUUCCUGAGUGAAUCCAUACUAAUGCUACAUAAACAAUCUAAAUCACUUAUGUUUUGACAGAACACUUUUGCUCUCCAUUUUCCUAAUGUUCUUUUUAUUUUAUGCUCUUUCAGGAGAAAACUUCUCCGUUUCUCAUCAGAGUACAUCAAAUACAGCACUCCUUCAGGUAUUGAUUUGAAGUCUCUUCAACGUUGAUUGAACUUAGUUCACAGAACUUGACAAGACUUUGGCUCAAGACACAGGAUAAACUCAAAUGUUUGGGAUACUUAAGACAGCUAUGUUGAUAUUAGCAGGUGAUGUUUUCUACCACUGUGAUUUGACUCUCAAAUAAUUUGGCGGCAACAAGAAAGAAGUGUGUGAAAUUAUUAAUAGGAUAUUGAAUGAAGAAGCAUCUGUUUGUCCAGAUGUUUUACGUUUACCCU